UUUGGACUAUUUUCCCCUUAUCAUCUAUCC
rnacentral:piRNA from 1 species